rnacentral:misc_RNA from 1 species
AGGAGUCUAACAUGCCCGCGAGUUCAACAUUUUAGAUGCUGAGCGGGCGAAAGCGAAAAGUAUUUCACGACUAGCAGAGCGUGUAUGUUGGGACCCGAAAAAUGGUGAACUAUUCCUGCAUAGGGGGAAGCCAGAGGAAACUCUGGUGGAGGCUCGCAGCGGUUCUGACGUGCAAAUCGAUCGUCAAAGUUGGGUAUAGGGGCGAAAGACUAAUCGAACCAUCUAGUAGCUGGUUCCCUC